AUCACUUACACAACAUAUUUUACCCUCAUCACUGACAUCAUCCACUGUUACCCUCACCAACACUGACAUCAUCCACUGUUACCCUCACCAUCACUGACAUCAUCCACUGUUACCCUCACCAUCACUGACAUCAUCCACUGUUACCCUCACCAACACUGACAUCAUCCAUUGUUACCCUCACCAACACUGACAUCACCCAUUGUUACCCUCACCAUCAAUGACAUCACCCACUGGUACCCUCAUCAUUGGUAUCACCCACUGUUACCCUCAUCACUGACAUCACAAUACUGUUACCAUUCUAAAAACCUACCAAACUUACCAAAGUCCCAUACCAAAAGGCCACAGGAAAGUACAGAACCCUUUGAAAAGAAUCCCAGAAGCAUUAAAAGCCUAGGGCAGAAGCGGAUCCUGGAGGUAUUUAUCUCUCCCUUUGCCUUGGCUGUGUUGCUCAUUCUUUCCAACCUCAUCACUUCACAUGCAGAGUGGGGAUGACAGACUUCAUGAAGUAGUCUGCAUAUCAACAAACCAGGCCCCGUGGAAAGACUGAAUGGAAAUUUAUCCAGGAGACAGAACUGAGCCCCUAUAGAGAGCAAGCCUUCUGUACAGAAAAAAACAAUGGCAGAAGACAAGGACUCGGUGUGGAGCAAGUGCUGAGUCAGAUAGGCACAGACCAGAACAAUAAAGAACAUAUUUGCUCCUGGGGACACACCUCUCCAAGCCAAGCAGCGGCAGGACAAUAUGGAACCUCAAAUAGCCUCAUAGAGAAGUUGUUCCCAAGUGCUCUGAGAUUCACACUGAAAUCUGACCACCAGGACUAAUCCUUCCAGGAAACUGGGGAAGAAAACCUCUCAGGACCUUGAGAGCCAAAAGAGCAGGUCUUCCAGACCGUGGCAGCACAGGAUGAAAGACUGGCACAGUGGUUGUCUGUGUCCUCACCUGUGCCCUUCCUGAGAAGCAAAAUCCUAAAAUGUGUGUGUUCUCUGCCAACAAAGGGUAUCACAAUCCCAGUAGAAAUCUGAAUUUCAUGUUCAGAAAUGCAAAGAUCCUUCCUGGUGGCAGAGACAGGGACUGGAGUCCAUUCAGUUCUGGCACAGAGUGAACAGACUGUGGAUGAGGAACGAUGUAAGUGGCGAUUAGGAUGAAGAGAGAAACAGCAUCAACACAAUCUAAAUACCAGAAGCUCUAUAGCAAUAGCCUUGGAGGCUGUAUGAUACUGCAUGAGAUUUAGGGCAAACUUCACAGGUACAUUUGACUGUUCAUCAACUGAACAGGAUAGUCAUAAAUAAAGGUUUCCAGACUGGAAAA